rnacentral:misc_RNA from 1 species
AACGAGGCCGACCUGCGGCUGAGUUACCUGCGGAGGAUCAUUACAAGUGACCCCGGUCUAACCACCGGGAUGUUCAUAACCCUUUGUUGUCCGACUCUGUUGCCUCCGGGGCGACCCUGCCUUCGGGCGGGGGCUCCGGGUGGACACUUCAAACUCUUGCGUAACUUUGCAGUCUGAGUAAACUUAAUUAAUAAAUUAAAACUUUUAACAACGGAUCU